rnacentral:tRNA from 3 species
CGCGGGGUGGAGCAGUCCGGUAGCUCGUCGGGCUCAUAACCCGGAGGUCGCUGGUUCAAAUCCAGCCCCCGCCACCA